rnacentral:rRNA from 1 species
GAACGGGCCAACGAGUUACGUUAAGUAGCAAGGUUAAGCACUUAAGGUGCGGAGCCGUAGCGAAAGCGAGUUUUAACUGAGCGUUCAGUUACUUGACGUAGACCCGAAACCGGGCGACCUACCCAUGAGCAGGAUGAAGCGAAAGUAAAAUUUCGUGGAGGUCCGAACCCACGAGCGUUGAAAAGCUCGGGGAUGACUUGUGGGUAGCGGUGAAAUUCCAAUCGAGCCCGGAGAUAGCUGGUUCUCCCCGAAAUAGCUUUAGGGCUAGCCUCAAGGUGAGAGAUACGGAGGUAGAGCACUGAAUGUCCUAGGGGGUAUUGCACCUACCGAAGACUAUCAAACUCCGAAUGCCGUCAUCUUAUACUUGGGAGUCAGACUGUGGGUGAUAAGAUUCAUAGUCGAAAGGGCAACAGCCCAGAUCGUCAGCUAAGGUCCCUAAAUGUAAGUUAAGUGGUAAAGGAUGU